GUGAGUUGGAUCAGUACGGCUGCGUUGAGUUGGAUCAGUUAGCUGAGGUGAGUUGGAUCAGUAUCGGCUGAGGUGAGUUGGAUCAUACGGCUCCGGAUUGUUUUGUCUGUCCCUGUUUCCCUUUAAAAAGGAAGUUUGUUUCGUAACAACCUAAUUGCUAAACAUACACAUACUGUUUUGAAAAGAUUCAAAUCUUUACUUUGUGGUGAAGAUUAUAAGGAUCAGUUGAAGUGGAUGAUGAGUUUAGAAGAUAGUCAUGUUAUUUGACCUGCUAUAAUGUGACCGUCUGGAAAUGCAGAUUAUAUCUCACAUAUCAUCUAUUUGUUGUUCAACUGUUCAUGCAGUUUUACUCCACCACAGUAUAGAGAAGAUCCCCUGAAGAGUGGAGAAAGAGAGAGAAGACAUUCCACUGAAUCUGUGUCUUCAAGCAGUCCUCCAUGAGAGAGAAACCAUACAAACAAUGUAGAGAAAGUGUUGUCACUGUCUGAAGUUUAUCAGGGUCGGACAAUGGGAUCUCCUGCUGGAUCUACUCUCAUGUGAAGGACUAUGAGACUCAAACAGGCGGAGUAUCCUUCCAGCAUUACAGUCCGUUUACCAGUCAGCUCCUGCAGUCUGGUCCAUAGACCUCUCAGAGAGAAAGGUCUCCCUCCUCCUAGAAGUGCUGAAACUCCAACCAGAGAAGAAACCAGUAGAGCUGAAAGGCUGGUCAGAUGAAGAGAUUGAAGUGAGGAGUUUCCUUCAGUGUCUGCCCUACAUCUCACAGCUCAGUUUCUAUCUAUUGGAGUCUGAUAUCUCAAAGCUGAUCAAGUUCCUGGUGGGUCUUCCUGUCUCAAGCCAGCAGUGGGAGGAGCAGUCAGGAGAGAAGACACUGAAGCUGGUAUCAUCAGUGUGUACUUACACAACCUUCUAUUUCUGUGAUGAGGAUGAUUUUAAUGAGUCGCUUCAAUGUGAUUUCUGCUGGAUCUGUAUUCACAUGUGAAGGACUAUGAGACUCAAACAGGCAGGAGUAUCCUUCCAGCAUUACAGCCAGUUUACCAGUCAGCUCCUGCAGUCUGGUCCAUAGGACCUUCUCAGAGAGAAAGGUCUCCCUCCUCCUAGAAGUGCUGAAACUCCAACCAGAGAAGAAACCAGUAGAGCUGAAAGGCUGGUCAGAUGAAGAGAGUGAAGUGAGGAGUUUCCUUCAGUGUCUGCCCUACAUCUCACAGCUSAGCUGUGAUUCUGACAGGUUCUUCCAGRGUGUGUGUGAAUCCAUCCCUGUGAGGUCCAGAGAGGAUGCCCAGCAGUUGGCCUCUCUCCUCCAGGCCUUGGGCUCCACCCUGUCACUGGGAGGACAGUUACCCAGGAAAACCUGCAGGUCUGUGGUGAGAGUGCUUGGCCUCUGUGCCUCCAGAGUGGACCUCACUCUCACCCCCAGCAAGAUCUCUCUGAAAGGAGCCUCGCUUCUCUUCACACAUGUGUCACAGCUACACAAGCUCAGGCUGAAUGUGGGCAUGGCAGUGAGACUGGCCAGACUGGCUAGGAGGACAGGGAGAGGGGGUUCUCCACUGACGGUCCCAGAGCUCUCCCUGGUCCUAAAGAGCAGCCAGCCACCAGAGAGAGUGUUAUCCAGGGCUCUGAGUAGUGUGGCGUCCCUGCUGAGACUCUGGACGGUGCAGUGUCUGGACCUGACUGACUUCUGCAUCCAGGGUCACUCUGUCAUCACACUGCUGUGUCACCAAGGCCCUCUCACUCUCAGACUGCACUCAGACARRCUGCAGCAGCUGGCUGUGGUUGUGUAUGAAGCUCAGGACAAGGACUUGACUCGGUGGUUCCUGGAGAAGGUUGGUGGAGACCUGACCACCUGUAGGCUGGACUGGGAGGUGCUUCUCUCUCUGCUGCAGCAUUCAACCCACAACAUCACAGUGGACCUCAGGAAGAACAGGUUUCUAGAGAAGAACAUCUCAGAUCUUCUCCCCUUUCUGGGAAGGGUUAUAUUCAAGAGGUGAGUGAACUUAAUUUUAUAUUUAAAGACUUUUUAGAAAGAAGAAAACAAAUAUUUUACAGUGACAUUAUUUUGAGUUAAACUCUGUAUUAUCAUUAGGGUMAUAUUCAAGAGGUGUUUGAUCUUUAGUUAAUAUUGUUGUUAUGUGAGUUAUCCUUUUUAUAACCUUAACAUAACCAUGACAAUCCAUUCUACAUCUUUCUGCAGGCUCAGUUCCAGCUUUGUGAAGUCCACCAUCAGACAGAUCUAUGACAGUAGAGCCAGUGACUGUGUGUCCAGUUUGUUGAGGUCUUCAGACCAUUGGAUCAACCUGAAUAGCAGAGAGCUGGACAGAGUGGACUGUACUGCGCUGUGUUUCACCCUGCAGCACAGCCACCAAGUCAAAGUCAAUCUCCUGUGGACCUCCAUACCACCGGGGGAGAUAGAGAGCAUCCUGCCUCUUCUGGACAGAGUCUCCCAACUCAGGUUUCGUUGGCACUCUUUGACCAUUCUAGAAUGGAUAGAACUGUGACGCUUUACACUGUCAGACUGAUUUUAAUACCCUAACCUUAGUGUAAUGUACUUACCUUUCCCCAGGGGUGGAAUUGAAGGGGAACGCGUGGGAGUUGACGUGAAUCACAGAGUUGUAGUGUGUUUUAUCAUGGUUUAUUGUGUGCUGGUGUGAAAUGAAUUCUCUCUCCUCUCUCUCUCUCUCUCUCUCCCUCUCUCUCUCUCUCUCUCCUCUCUCUCCUCCUCUCUCUCUCCUGUUGACAGGAUGCUGUUGCUGAGUUUCCUGCGCUGCCUCUCAGAUCCUGCAGGGGGCACUAUCACCACCUUCAGCAAUAACGCAGCAGCAGAGCUGCUCAGGCGGCUCUGCAGCACAGGUUGGACUUCCUCCUCCUGCUCCCUUUGUGGACCUGUCAGCUCACGACCAGGGGAGGCGCUGUGUCUGACCACUGUAGGGCCAUAAACUCUGUUCUGAAGCAGAGCCAGCACAGCACACAGCUGGUUCAGAACCCGACCCAGAACCAGUCCCGAAACCAGCCCCAGGUGCAGCUCAUCCUUAAAGACUGUGAGGUGGAGCACUGAGAGAGCUGCUUCCCAUCCUGCAUAUUGUCAAGCUGAGGUUAGAUACACAAGGACAAACUAGUUUAUAAAAGUAGGAGUUAGAGCUGUCUCAUAAUGUUAUCUCUGGUUAUGUUUCCCUCAGCCCCAGCAAAGCUCUGCUACUUCAGCUGGUGGACCAUGUGUGUGAGGGGAUUGAAGAGGGAGUGCUGAGACACGCAGAGUCCCGGUCAAGCCCUGGAUGGGGAGCUGGACCUCAGUGAGACCAGGCUGAACCAAAAGGCCUGUGGAUCUCUGGCCCUGGUUCUGGAACACUCAGAGGGGCUGUCAGAACUGGACCUCAGCCACUGCCAACUCACAGACCGCCAUCUACAGCCCCUGCUCACACACCUGCACAAAGUUGAAGUCCUUGAGUGAGUGGGUUUCACUCUGUGUGUGUGUGUGUCCAUGUGACUACAUGACAAAUGUCUGAUCCUUCAUUCUCUUCCUGUUUCUGUAUUGUAGCCUGAGUCACAAUGACAUCACUGAUGAUCUGACCAACAGAAUUCUCCAACUGGUCUCCACCAACACUUCAAUCUGCACCGUACGGUGAGUGUGUGUGAUGUCAGUUUGUGUGUGCACGUGAGAUCAUAUGGUCUCUUUUUCUGGGUGCAACUAUUURAUGUUGGUUGUCUGUAGUGUAAUGUUCUAAAACUAAUAAUGAUGAUGUUAGUGUUCUUCUCUACAGGCUCUUCAGCAACACAAUCAAGGACAGAAGUCCGUUCCUGACAGACAAGAGGUUUGAGAUCUGGUGAAGCAGCAUCAGGUCCAAGUCCAGACAGAGGAAGCGAAGAUGGAUGUUGAAGAGGUAGAGGAAGCGAAGAUGGAUGUUGAAGAGGUAGAGGAAGCGAAGAUGGAUGUUGAAGAUGGGUGUAGUAGCUACGAAGCCUCAUCUCAUCAACCUUAACCUGGACACUAAACGUAUCCUAAUUUUAACCAAUUCUUAAAUAUUGAAUGAAAGCCACAUCCCCUUAGUUUUUAGCUGACCUCAUCAUGGUGUCAGAAGAACUGCAAGUGGUGUCAUCAGGGAUUUGGGGACUAAGGUAUUGUAAAAAUAGUUGAGACUCCAGAACUCUGUAAUGUUCUGAGUGUAAUGGAUAGGAAUGUGUAGUUUUAUUUACCUCUUACAUGGUUCUGAAAAACACAGGAACAUGUGUAGUAUAAUGUUUUUUGAGCUUUACAUAAGUAGAUGAUUUUUGUGAUCUGACAAUUUGUGAAAUUCCUUCUGAAGGAAUGGAAUGUAUUUGUGCUUUUMUAGUCUAGUAUUUAUCAGGUUGAUGUGAAUGUGUUCUACAGUUGCAGUGGGAGAYGUAAUACAUGAGUGUUUUGUUGCAGGUCAACCUCAUGGUAUUGUUACUCAGGCUAGCCCUGUUGAGAACCAAGCUUCCCUAUUCAGGAAGCAAGGGGUGUGUUGACUUCUCUUGAACGUUUGCUAUGUUGUGCAACGUUUUGUACUGAAUGACACGUUUCCCCAAAAUGUUCUUGAACAGACUUUGAGGUACGUUUGGUGGGUGUGGCGAGGUGUGGCUUGAAGCAAUGAGUGACAUAUUUGUAAAGGGCAGUGGCCAUGCUGACAAUAUUCUCCAACCCACAACCCAACCCCUCCCCAUUUUUCAACUGGUYGUUCAGUACAGCACCGUUUACGUUCAAUUGAACCGUUUCAGAACGUAGAAACAUACUGAACGCAGCCCUGGUGAAGUUCAGGGCAGAAAGUAGCUACAAGUGGGUGGAAACCAUUGAUGCCUCGCAACACGUCAAACCAAUCAAUUGCCUUGCUUUGGCGGAGCACUAAAGGUAGCCACUAGUGCCAUAGGAGGAACAGUGUGUGAGGAUGCCCAGGGAAUCGCUGAUGUAUAACAUAGGCUGUAUGUACACAAACCAUAACAAAAAUGCCCUCAUCGACUUGUGAAGAACAUUACACGCAGCUUCCCUUYUAAGGGCAUGUGGGGGAGGUUUCUUGAAAUAUAACAUCCAAUCAAAAUGUAGCCGCUGGAACCCAGCAGACCAUUCUGUUUUGGCUCAUACAAAAUUCUCCAAUUCUCCAGCAUGACAACAAUGUGAUUUUGGAGGUAUGGCUACAUGAGACUAGUACAAGCCUUUCUCAUAUCAAAACAGACAAACUAAGAAAUAAUAUAUGAAUAUUUUGUUUUUUAAAUAAAUGUACCUUGAGGCCCAUGAUUGGCUUUUGACUGUGUUCUCUUCAGGUUGAAAUCAUUACUAGUGAAUCCUAAAUAAUCUGUUUCAAGUUAAUGCUGGUAUUAAAGCAAUCCCAUGUGUAUUUAUUUUAAUGAGAAUUUAAGUUGAGAGCUAAGCACUAUGGACCAGCAGAUGGGGUUGCUUCAGAGAGCCUUGACUGGGGUUAGAACCUACAACCAUGAUUCAGAGAGCCUUGAACAACGCCUUUCUUUCUUGAGCCCACAGACAGAAUUCUCAGGCUAUGACUCACUCUCCAGCUAAGGGCCGAUGUUGGUUGAAGUCUUUAGCUUAUUCCUUUAGUCCCGCCCCAUUUUCCCGUCACAGAUUUAUGCUGGGAUCUUUUCCAAGUGUGAAGUAGCUGGUGCCUCUUGCCCUUGAAGCAUGGUGUUACAGAUUCAAGCCUGGACUGGUCAAUGUGGUUUUGGUAGCACUAACCUGAUGGUGAUAGAAGCAUUGGAUUCCUUCUCCGGUUAAUCCUGUGGUUCGGAUCAAAAGUGUCUACUUUUUCCUCCAUAACCACUGCUGGUUACUGUUCCAUAUCCGCAGGGGGGAUCCCAGGAUGAACUACUCCCCACUUAUCGCUUUCUUCCGGCCAACAAGCACAGCCAUUUUAUGUGUCACAGCUACUCCCAGCAGCCUUUAACCCCAGCAGCCAAAACUUGCUCAGCAACAGAGUGCUCAGUUUUAAGGCAACCAUGAUGAGAGCGCAGCACUGGUUUCAACCUACACAGCCAAGAGAGACUUCUUCCUUCUUAACAUUCGUUACACUUCGGAUUCUGACAUCGAUGUUUAUCACCUAAAGCAGAAGUGUUGAGUUUUGAACCUAUAACCUCUUGGAUGAAAGGCAAAGUACUCAAAAAAUCUAUUCUAGCUCUUAAAUUAAAGGGCAGUAGCCUACAUUUAAUCUAUGAUUUUCAAUUACAGCAUUAUUUCAUCUGCAGUUAUUCUUCUGAUAUUUAUUCUGUUACCAAUAAUAUUUACAUGUUAAUAUUGUCUUCUGAUUACAAUUAUUAUGUCUCAGGUUGCAUUUAGUUCAAAUAUAUUAGCUUCCAAAAUGUAAGUAGGUAUAUCUAGCUGUCAGAUGACACGUUCUGAAUGUCUGAUGGAAUGGCUUGGCCUGCACCUUGUAAAAACCCAUAGUGAAUGUCUGAUGGAAUGGCUUGGCCUGCACCUUGUAAAAACCCAUAGUGAAUGUCUGAUGGAUGGCUU
rnacentral:lncRNA from 1 species